AGCCAUGAUCUGGGAAGUGCUGAAGAAGUUGCAUAUUGACAUAAGUGAAAGACACCAGGAUUUGGGAGACGUGAAGAAAUUAAUUACUGAAGAAUUUGUUCGUCAGAAAUUCAGAAUAAGGAUCCCAAAUCUUGGACAGCACAGUAUAAAGAAGCACAGGCAGAAGAGGCUGCAAAAGCAUCAGGAACAGCAAGCAGGCCAAAAUAAGUGUUUCAAGACACAGGUGGAUUUCCAGUACAUGGUGUAGAAGUGCACUUCAGAAGGAAGUUGAAUUCUGAGCAUUCAAUAUUGCACUUUUCAUGGAUAUUAAAUAUUUGAAAACUAAGUAACAUACAGCAGUCUUAGAUUUGGAUACCGUUGAAUGUGUGUUGAUGAUAAUUGUGCUCCAUUUGGCUGUAGUAAUGUUUUCCUGGUACUUCAGCACUGUUUUACAAGUUAUUGGUUCUGUAAUUUUGCAGAGCCAAGUAGAGUAGCCAGAUAACUGCAACUCUCAAGCUGUUCUGUUUUGUUGGAUUAAUGCAAUCUUGCCCAUCUCUCGUAGUUUGCAGUCUUUUUUUUUUUUUUUUUUGUUAAACGUGUAUUCAUUUUCAAGACAUCAUUUUGAAUAUUUAUGUAAAUCGCUGAGGGUGUCUGUUGAAAUUCUUGAAUACACUCUGCCCUUCCACUAGUAAUGGAUUUUAAUACCUAGAAAACUUUCAAUAAAUAUAUUUAAAAAGCCA